rnacentral:rRNA from 1 species
UACAGAGGGGGCGAGCGUUGUUCGGAAUUACUGGGCGUAAAGGGCGCGUAGGCGGUUCGAUAAGUCGGGUGUGAAAACUUUGGGCUCAACCCAAAGCGUGCAUUCGAUACUGUUGUGACUAGAGUUCGGUAGGGGAGUGGGGAAUUCCUAGUGUAGCGGUGAAAUGCGCAGAUAUUAGGAGGAACACCGGUGGCGAAGGCGCCACUCUGGGCCGAAACUGACGCUGAGGAGCGAAAGCGUGGGUAGCAAACAGG